rnacentral:rRNA from 1 species
GACAGAGGCCUCGAGCGUUAGGCGGAAUCACUGGGCUUAAAGCGUGUGUAGGCGGAAGCGUAAGUACCUUGUGAAAUCCCACGGCUCAACCGUGGAACCGCAGGGCAUACUGCUGAUCUUGAGGAAGGUAGAGGCCGGUGGAACGAUAGGUGGAGCGGUGGAAUGCGUAGAGAUCUAUCGGAACGCCAAUGGUGAAGACAGCCGGCUGGGCCUUUCCUGACGCUGAGGCACGAAAGCGUGGGGAGCAAACAGG